rnacentral:rRNA from 1 species
CACGUAGGGCGCAAGCGUUGUCCGGAAUUAUUGGGCGUAAAGAGCUCGUAGGCGGUCUGUUACGUCUGCUGUGAAAACCCGGGGCUUAACCCUGGGCUUGCAGUGGAUACGGGCAGACUAGAGGCAGGUAGGGGAGAAUGGAAUUCCCGGUGUAGCGGUGAAAUGCGUAGAUAUCGUAAGGAAGACCAGUGGCGAAGGCGGGUCUCUGGACAGUUCCUGACGCUGAGGCACGAAGGUCAGGGGAGCAAACGGG